rnacentral:rRNA from 1 species
AUACUCCUGACUGACCGAUAGUGAACCAGUACCGUGAGGGAAAGGCGAAAAGAACCCCGGCGAGGGGAGUGAAAAAGAACCUGAAACCGUGUACGUACAAGCAGUGGGAGCACGCUUAGGCGUGUGACUGCGUACCUUUUGUAUAAUGGGUCAGCGACUUAUAUUCUGUAGCAAGGUUAACCGAAUAGGGGAGCCGAAGGGAAACCGAGUCUUAACUGGGCGUUAAGUUGCAGGGUAUAGACCCGAAACCCGGUGAUCUAGCCAUGGGCAGGUUGAAGGUUGGGUAACACUAACUGGAGGACCGAACCGACUAAUGUUGAAAAAUUAGCGGAUGACUUGUGGCUGGGGGUGAAAGGCCAAUCAAACCGGGAGAUAGCUGGUUCUCCCCGAAAGCUAUUUAGGUAGCGCCUCGUGAAUUCAUCUCCGGGGGUAGAGCACUGUUUCGGCAAGGGGGUCAUCCCGACUUACCAACCCGAUGCAAACUGCGAAUACCGGAGAAUGUUAUCACGGGAGACACACGGCGGGUGCUAACGUCCGUCGUGAAGAGGGAAACAACCCAGACCGCCAGCUAAGGUCCCAAAGUCAUGGUUAAGUGGGAAACGAUGUGGGAAGGCCCAGACAGCCAGGAUGUUGGCUUAGAAGCAGCCAUCAUUUAAAGAAAGCGUAAUAGCUCACUGGUCGAGUCGGCCUGCGCGGAAGAUGUAACGGGGCUAAACCAUGCAC